ACGCGUGUUUCUCAUCGUGCUGUGCUUCUUCUUCUUCAACUUUCUCCUGAAGAGAUGGAGAAGAAAAGGGAAGUCCGUGUCACCUCUUGCUCUCUGCCGGAAAAAAGAGAGAGAGAGAGUCCCCUUCUACUUU
ensembl:ncRNA Y69E1A.9 ncRNA